CGCACUAAGUGGGGAGCUAGCGGCACCCUGUACUCGCAAUCCGCUACAGCGAGACUGACCGCCGUCUUCGGCAUGGCGGUUGCAAGGUCUGCCUUAAGGAAUUGGUGUUGACAUUUGAGUCCUGCGCAACAGAAACCUACGAACCCUGUCAGGUCCGGAAGGAAGCAGCAGUAAGUAGUCAUUUCCGUGUGCCGCGGGGAAGCUCAGAUUGAGCCAUGAACUUAAGUAACGCUUGGGAC
rnacentral:SRP_RNA from 1 species